GUGUGAUUCGUCACACUAUCAUUACGUGAAUACAUAGCGUAAUGAAGCGAACCGGGGGAACUGAAACAUCUAAGUACCCCGAGGAAAAGAAAUCAACCGAGAUUCCCCCAGUAGCGGCGAGCGAACGGGGAGCAGCCCAGAGUCUGAAUCAGCUUGUGUGUUAGUGGAACGGUCUGGAAAGUCCGACGGUACAGGGUGAUAGUCCCGUACACCAAAAUGCACAGGUUGUGAACUCGAAGAGUAGGGCGGGACACGUGGUAUCCUGUCUGAAUAUGGGGGGACCAUCCUCCAAGGCUAAAUACUCCUGACUGACCGAUAGUGAACCAGUACCGUGAGGGAAAGGCGAAAAGAACCCCGGCGAGGGGAGUGAAAAAGAACCUGAAACCGUGUACGUACAAGCAGUGGGAGCCUCUUUAUGGGGUGACUGCGUACCUUUUGUAUAAUGGGUCAGCGACUUAU
rnacentral:rRNA from 1 species